AUUGAACGCUGGCGGCAGGCUUAACACAUGCAAGUCGAGCGGAGAUGAGGUGCUUGCACCUUAUCUUAGCGGCGGACGGGUGAGUAAUGCUUAGGAAUCUGCCUAUUAGUGGGGGACAACAUUCCGAAAGGAAUGCUAAUACCGCAUACGCCCUACGGGGGAAAGCAGGGGAUCUUCGGACCUUGCGCUAAUAGAUGAGCCUAAGUCGGAUUAGCUAGUUGGUGGGGUAAAGGCCUACCAAGGCGACGAUCUGUAGCGGGUCUGAGAGGAUGAUCCGCCACACUGGGACUGAGACACGGCCCAGACUCCUACGGGAGGCAGCAGUGGGGAAUAUUGGACAAUGGGCGGAAGCCUGAUCCAGCCAUGCCGCGUGUGUGAAGAAGGCCUUUUGGUUGUAAAGCACUUUAAGCGAGGAGGAGGCUGCCUAGAUUAAUACUCUGGGAUAGUGGACGUUACUCGCAGAAUAAGCACCGGCUAACUUUGUGCCAGCAGCCGCGGUAACAC
rnacentral:rRNA from 1 species